GAACGGGUGAGUAACGCGUGAGGAACCUGCCCUGGAGUGGGGGACAACAGUUGGAAACGACUGCUAAUACCGCAUAAGCCCACGGCCCGGCAUCGGGCUGCGGGAAAAGGAUUUAUUCGCUUCAGGAUGGACUCGCGUCCAAUUAGCUAGUUGGUGAGGUAACGGCCCACCAAGGCGACGAUUGGUAGCCGGACUGAGAGGUUGAACGGCCACAUUGGGACUGAGACACGGCCCAG
rnacentral:rRNA from 1 species